rnacentral:misc_RNA from 1 species
GGGAAGGAUUUCCGGAAAAUUGCUUCUUUUCUCGAUCACAAGACAACUGCAGAUUGUGUUGAAUUCUACUACAAAAACCACAAAUCUGAUUGUUUUGAGAAAACCAAAAAGAGUAAGCAAUCAAAGUCCUCUGCCAACUAUCUAGUGGCAUCUGGUAAGAAUUGGAGCCGCGAAAUGAAUGCUGCCUCACUUGAUAUUCUGGGUGCAGCUACAGUAAUAGCAGCUGAUGUUGACAAUGGUAUGGGAAAUCAACAGACGCAUUCUGGUAGAUUUUAUUUGGGAGGCUACUGUAAUUCAAAGCCAUCACAUGGUGGUGAUGGGAAUGUAGACCGAUCAAGCAAUGUUGACAUUCUUCAGAAUGAAAGAGAGACUGUUGCUGCAGACGUUUUAGCAGGCAUUUGUGGUUCAAUGUCCUCGGAGGCAAUGAGUUCCUGCAUCACUACUUCUGUUGAUCCUGGGGAGGGCUGCCGGGAGUGGAAGUCACAAAAGGUGGAUUUUGUCAAGAAACGGUCUUUGAUGGCUGAUGUUACACAGAAUGUUGAUGAAGAGACGUGUUCAGAUGAGAGUUGUGAGGAAAUGGAUCCUGCUGUUUGGACAGAUGAGGAGAAGUCCAUCUUUAUACGUGCUGUGUCUUCCUAUGGAAAGGAUUUUGCUAUGAUCUCACGGUGUGUAAGGACAAGGUCUAGGGACCAGUGUAAGGCAUUCUUUAGCAAGGCUCGGAAAUGCCUUAGUUUGGACUCUAUACAUCCUGGACCUGGAAACCUGGGAACACCAUUGAGCGAUGAUGCAAAUGGCGGUGGCGGUGGAAGUGACACAGAAGAUGGUGGUGCUCUCGAGUCUGGCUCGGUUAUCUGCAGUGAUAAGUUGGGCUCCAAGAUGGAUGAUAGCUUACCAUUGCCUGUCAUGGAUUCAAAGUUUGAGGAAUCUGAUGUUGUGGAGAGGAAAAAUUUGACUACUGGCUUAAAUAGAUCAAAGGACAGCAAUGUUACCACACAAUUAGGUGAGAAUGACACGAGGAAUGAAAAAACAUUUGUUUCUGAUGCUUGCCAGAUGGACUGCCAGCCUGAGCAAACUUUUGACAUUGAAAACAAUGGCUUUGUCCGCCAAUCUGAGUUAAUGCAGGCCCAGGAAAUUUCAAAUGAGUCCGUCAGUUCAGAAGCUGGAAUAGGGAAACCAAUCGAAGACAUUUCUGUUGGAGAUACAGUGGACCCUGGCCCAUCCAAUCCCGUUGCUGCUGUUGAUGUUAAAGCUAUAGUGGGGGUUUCUGCUAAUGCAAAUGUAAAUCAUUUGGGGGCAGAAGAAAUUCUGUUGCUUGAAAAUAAUUUGAACCACCAAAGUGGCUUGCUGCAAGAUUCAAAUGCUUCUAGAGAUGUGUCCCACCAGCCUUUGGAUAUGGGUUCCUGUUCGAACUUCAGUCUAGCUAUGGAAAACACACAUCACGCGUCCAUGGAAUUCAAGUCUGUGGAGAAGUCCCCUGUUGUUUCAUUGCUGCAGGAAAAUAAACCUGCUACUGCUAAUUCUGUGUUACAAGACUCCGCUGCCAUACAAUUCAGAAAACUUUCAUCACAACUUGAUAUCCAGGAGGAAAGAGAUGAGCAGGGUCAAAAAUUGGUCAGUGGGGAUAAUCAUUUACAAAAUUUGCCGGGGCAAUGUUUGGUGAGUAGUAAUGAGUCUUCCCAGAUUCUUAGGGGUUAUCCACUUCAAAUUCCAACAAAGAGAGAGACGAAUGGGGAUAUUUCUUGCAGACCUCUGCCUGAAGUUCAAAGCCUUUCAACGUCUGAAAGGAAUGCUGGCAAUCAGUUUGUAGGUCAAGAUUGCUAUCUUCAAAGUUGUAACGUUUCACAAGAUCAGUACUCAGUGCCUAAGAUUCCACUUCUUUCCCAUCACACUGAACAAGGCAACGAUCAUUCAAGAGACCAGUCAAGGAGUUUGUCAGAAAUGGAAAAGCCAUGCAGGAAUGGGGAUGUUAAACUGUUUGGCCAAAUACUCACUAAUCCCUCGUCUUCACAGAAGCAGAAUCCUAGCAUUAAUGAGAACGUGGAACUGGGGACACAUUGUCCUAAGCCAGGUAGCAAGUCAUCAACUUUGAAAUUCACUGGCCAUCAAACAACAGAUGGAAGCUCUUCUGUCUUGAAGUUUGAUAGUAAUAAUUAUCGAGGCCUUGAGAAUGUUCCCGUGAAGAGUUAUGGCUUCUGGGAUGGGAACAAGAUACAGACUGGGUUUUCAUCUUUACCCGAGUACUUUUUGGCAAAGUAUCCUGCAGCAUUUGGCAAUUAUCAUGUGCCCUCAUUGAAAAUGGAGCAGCAGGCUUUGCAGGCUCCUGUGAAGUGUAAUGACCGUAAUUUGAACAGCGUUUCAGUUUUGCCUCCAAGAGAAAUAAGUAGCAGCAAUGGAGUUGUGGAUUAUCAGAUGUACAUGAGUCAUGACAUUAGUAAAGUUAAGUCAUUCUCUGUAGAUAUGAAACAGCGGCAUGAUAUAUUCUCUGAAUUG